rnacentral:rRNA from 1 species
UAGGGAAUAUUGGGCAAUGGCCGAGAGGCUGACCCAGCCAUGCCGCGUGCAGGAAGAAGGCCUUCUGGGUUGUAAACUGCUUUUAUCAGGGAAGAAAACGCUCCUGCGGGAGUAACUGACGGUACCUGAUGAAUAAGCACCGGCUAACUCCGUGCCAGCAGCCGCGGUAAUACGGAGGGUGCAAGCGUUGUCCGGAUUUAUUGGGUUUAAAGGGUGCGUAGGCGGCCUGUUAAGUCAGCGGUGAAAUCCCAGGGCUCAACCCUGGAACUGCCGUUGAUACUGGCAGGCUUGAGUUCGGUCGAGGCGGGCGGAACUGGUGGUGUAGCGGUGAAAUGCAUAGAUACCACCAAGAACCCCGAUUGCGAAGGCAGCUCGCUGGGCCGAAACUGACGCUGAGGCACGAAAGCGUGGGGAGCGAACA